rnacentral:rRNA from 1 species
UACGGAGGGUGCGAGCGUUGUCCGGAAUCAUUGGGCGUAAAGGGCGCGUAGGUGGCCCGGUCAGUCCGUGGUGAAAGCGCGGGGCUCAACCCUGCGUCGGCCAUGGAUACUGCCGCGGCUGGAGCACUGUAGAGGCAGGCGGAAUUCCGGGUGUAGCGGUGGAAUGCGUAGAGAUCCGGAAGAACACCGGUGGCGAAGGCGGCCUGCUGGGCAGUAGCCGAAAGGCUUUCAAGCUGACACUGAGGCGCGACAGCGUGGGGAGCAAAC